UACAGAGGUCUCAAGCGUUGUUCGGAUUCACUGGGCGUAAAGGGUGCGUAGGCGGCGCGGUAAGUCGGGUGUGAAAUCUCGGAGCUUAACUCCGAAACUGCAUUCGAUACUGCCGUGCUUGAGGACUGGAGAGGAUACUGGAAUUUACGGUGUAGCGGUGAAAUGCGUAGAUAUCGUAAGGAAGACCAGUGGCGAAGGCGGGUCUCUGGACAGUUCCUGACGCUGAGGCACGAAGGUCAGGGGAGCAAACGGG
rnacentral:rRNA from 1 species